GACGAACGCUGGCGGCGUGCCUAAUACAUGCAAGUCGAGCGAAGUUUUUCUGGUGCUUGCACUAGAAAAACUUAGCGGCAAACGGGUGAGUAACACGUAAAGAACCUGCCUCAUAAACUGGGACAACUAUUGGAAACGAUAGCUAAUACCGGAUAACAGUAUUUCUCGCAUGAGAGAUAUUUAAAAGUUGGUUAUGCUAACACUAUGAGAUGGCUUUGCGGUGCAUUAGCUAGUUGGUGGGGUAAAGGCCCACCAAGGCGACGAUGCAUAGCCGACCUGAGAGGGUGAUCGGCCACACUGGGACUGAGACACGGCCCAGACUCCUACGGGAGGCAGCAGUAGGGAAUCUUCCGCAAUGGGCGAAAGCCUGACGGAGCAACGCCGCGUGAGUGAAGAAGGAUUUCGGUUCGUAAAGCUCUGUUGUUAGGGAAGAAUGGAUAUGUAGUAACUAUACAUGUAAGAGACGGUACCUAACCAGAAAGCCACGGCUAACUACGUG
rnacentral:rRNA from 1 species